GGGCAGAUGGCCGAGUGGUUAAUGGCAACAGACUGUAAAUCUGUCACGCUUCGCGUUACGGAGGUUCAAAUCCUUCUCUGCCCA
rnacentral:tRNA from 1 species